GACGAACGCUGGCGGCGUGCCUAACACAUGCAAGUCGAGCGAAUGAAGUUCCUUCGGGAAUGGAUUUAGCGGCGGACGGGUGAGUAACACGUGGGCAACCUGCCUCAUAGAGGGGAAUAGCCUUCCGAAAGGGAGAUUAAUACCGCAUAAGAUUGUAGUACCGCAUGAUACAGCAAUUAAAGGAGCAAUCCGCUAUGAGAUGGGCCCGCGGCGCAUUAGCUAGUUGGUGAGGUAACGGCUCACCAAGGCGACGAUGCGUAGCCGGCCUGAGAGGGUGACCGGCCACACUGGGACUGAGACACGGCCCAGACUCCUACGGGAGGCAGCAGUGGGGAAUAUUGGACAAUGGGCGAAAGCCUGAUCCAGCAACGCCGCGUGAGGGA
rnacentral:rRNA from 1 species